CCUGGCUCACGUACGAACGCUGGCGGCGCGCCUAACACAUGCAAGUCGAACGAGCGAGAGAGAGCUUGCUUUCUUGAGCGAGUGGCGAACGGGUGAGUAACGCGUGAGGAACCUGCCUCAAAGAGGGGGACAACAGUUGGAAACGACUGCUAAUACCGCAUAAGCCCACAGCUCGGCAUCGAGCAGAGGGAAAAGGAGCAAUCCGCUUUGAGAUGGCCUCGCGUCCGAUUAGCUAGUUGGUGAGGUAACGGCCCACCAAGGCGACGAUCGGUAGCCGGACUGAGAGGUUGAACGGCCACAUUGGGACUGAGACACGGCCCAGACUCCUACGGGAGGCAGCAGUGGGGAAUAUUGCACAAUGGGGGAAACCCUGAUGCAGCGACGCCGCGUGGAGGAAGAAGGUCUUCGGAUUGUAAACUCCUGUUGUUGAGGAAGAUAAUGACGGUACUCAACAAGGAAGUGACGGCUAACUACGUGCCAGCAGCCGCGGUAAAACGUAGGUCACAAGCGUUGUCCGGAAUUACUGGGUGUAAAGGGAGCGCAGGCGGGAGAACAAGUUGGAAGUGAAAUCCAUGGGCUCAACCCAUGAACUGCUUUCAAAACUGUUUUUCUUGAGUAGUGCAGAGGUAGGCGGAAUUCCCGGUGUAGCGGUGGAAUGCGUAGAUAUCGGGAGGAACACCAGUGGCGAAGGCGGCCUACUGGGCACCAACUGACGCUGAGGCUCGAAAGUGUGGGUAGCAAACAGGAUUAGAUACCCUGGUAGUCCACACCGUAAACGAUGAUUACUAGGUGUUGGAGGAUUGACCCCUUCAGUGCCGCAGUUAACACAAUAAGUAAUCCACCUGGGGAGUACGACCGCAAGGUUGAAACUCAAAGGAAUUGACGGGGGCCCGCACAAGCAGUGGAGUAUGUGGGUUAAUUCGACGCAACGCGAAGAACCUUACCAAGUCUUGACAUCCCUUGACGAACAUAGAAAUAUGUUUUCUCUUCGGAGCAAGGAGACAGGUGGUGCAUGGUUGUCGUCAGCUCGUGUCGUGAGAUGUUGGGUUAAGUCCCGCAACGAGCGCAACCCUUAUGGUCAGUUACUACGCAAGAGGACUCUGGCCAGACUGCCGUUGACAAAACGGAGGAAGGUGGGGAUGACGUCAAAUCAUCAUGCCCUUUAUGACUUGGGCUACACACGUACUACAAUGGCGUUAAACAAAGAGAAGCAAGACCGCGAGGUGGAGCAAAACUCAGAAACAACGUCCCAGUUCGGACUGCAGGCUGCAACUCGCCUGCACGAAGUCGGAAUUGCUAGUAAUCGUGGAUCAGCAUGCCACGGUGAAUACGUUCCCGGGCCUUGUACACACCGCCCG
rnacentral:rRNA from 1 species